AAUCCGGUUGAUCCUGCCGGCGGGCACCGCUAUUGGAGUUCGCUUAAGCCAUGCGAGUCGAGAGGGGUAAGCCCUCGGCGCACUGCUCAGUAACACGCGGACAAUCUGCCCUCGAGACGGGGAUAAUCCCGGGAAACUGGGGAUAAUACCCGAUAGGUCUGGGAUGAUGGAAGGCUCCCUGGCCAAAAUCUUCCGGGGCUCGAGGAUGGGUCUGCGGCCUAUCAGGUCGUAGGGGGUUUUACGGACCCCCUAGCCGAAGACGGGUACGGGCUUUGGGAGAAGUCGCCCGGAGAUGGAUUCUGAGACACGAAUCC
rnacentral:rRNA from 1 species